GACGAACGCUGGCGGCGUGCUUAACACAUGCAAGUCGAACGAAGUGGCGAACGGGUGCGUAACGCGUAAUCAACCUGCUCAUCAGCGGGGGACAACAGGUGGAAACGACUGCUAAUAUCGCAUACGGAAGGAGGAGCUGCCGACUGAAUAGCUAGUUGGAGGGGUAACGGCCCACAAAGGCGAUGAUCAGUUGCCUGUCUGCGAGGAUGAACGGCCACAUUGGGCCUGAGACACGGCCCCGGCUCCUACGGGAGGCCGCAGUGAGGAAUCUUCCGCAAUGGACGAAAGUCUGACGUGGCAACGCCGCGUGAGUGAUGACGGCCUUCGGGUUGUAAAGCUCUGUUAAUCGGGACGCGGUACCGGAAUAGAAAGCCACGGCUAACUACGUGCCAGCAGCCGCGGUAAUUC
rnacentral:rRNA from 1 species